GGUUUUCUGUCCCUCCAGCUCUUAGCCCAGUGCGAGCCACCGAGAGAAACUUUUCUUUCCCCAGCUCAUCCCUGCUCCACGGGACUACGUCAGAGUCAUAGAGACAUGAUAUCUUCCGUGUUAAAAUAUAUGUUCAGGCAAGAUGGCAUAGCCCCGUUUUUCCUUGCUCCUCACGGCGACACACAACUACAGACCGUGGAAAUGGCAAAAGAGACAACCAAAGGAAAACCCCGGAAGGUGGUAAAAGGGGGAGAGAACUGUUUUCUGGGUGAAGCAGCCUGUGGCCAGAUUGGGAUCCAGAGCCCCACCUGCUCCAACAUCUACAAGGCAUCUACCCAGCACCCAGAGGAGAAGACUGGGUCGUGCUUGGGAAACUGCCAUGAUGGGGGCUGGGGGGGAAGGAGAGCCCGUGCAGCUAUCUUUCUUCCCACAGACAUUAUGGGACUCUAGAAA